UUUGUUUUUUCUCAAAUAUGUAUUACAAUAUCAUUAUAUAUAAAUAUACUGUAUAUACAUGAAACAAUACUGAAAUUACAAAUAGAAUUGAAAAUUAAAAAUCUUUGGCCACAAAUUCAUAACUGUUUGUUGAACUACAAAUGUACAUGGGCACUCCACAUAAAAUCCUGCGCUGAUGAAAUUAAACAAACCAGGAUAGAACUUCAACGUGGCACAAUGGGUUUGAUAUUUACUACCGAUUUCAUUGGAUGGUAUGGCUA